UUAACUAUUAUAUAGUACUCAGACAUCACAAAAUUCAGAGUUUGGUCCUCUGGCAGGCGCUUGCAGGCGUAAAGCCCACAGGGUCGAGACCGCGGCCUGCCAAAGCAACAAGAGUAUGUAGACACGGAUGGGGUAUGCCACAAGUGACAUCCUUUUAUUAAUGAUCCUUCCGCAGGUUCACCUACGGAAA
rnacentral:misc_RNA from 1 species